rnacentral:rRNA from 1 species
UGGGGAAUAUUGCGCAAUGGGCGGAAGCCUGACGCAGCGACGCCGCGUGAGGGAUGACGGUCUUCGGAUUGUAAACCUCUUUCAGCAGGGACGAAGCGCAAGUGACGGUACCUGCAGAAGAAGCACCGGCCAACUACGUGCCAGCAGCCGCGGUAAUACGUAGGGUGCAAGCGUUGUCCGGAAUUAUUGGGCGUAAAGAGCUCGUAGGCGGCUUGUCACGUCGACUGUGAAAACCCGGGGCUCAACUCCGGGCCUGCAGUCGAUACGGGCUGGCUUGAGUGCGGUAGGGGAGACUGGAAUUCCUGGUGUAGCGGUGAAAUGCGCAGAUAUCAGGAGGAACACCGGUGGCGAAGGCGGGUCUCUGGGCCGUAACUGACGCUGAGGAGCGAAAGCGUGGGGAGCGAACAG